GAAAAACUAGUAAGGAGAGACAGCAAAUAUUGUUAUAUUGAAAGGAGAAAGGGCAUUUGUCCCUGUGUGAUAAUACCUUUAAACCUCCGUCAGUGGUCCUCCACAAGAUUUAACCCCUUAUUGCUAGUGUAACAUUAAAUUCUGUGUGUCAAGACAGCACCUUCAAUGAGCCCUGCUCUGCAUACAAGGGGUAUGCAUUUGGAAAAAAAGAUCCCCCUGUGUGUCAGUGUAUCUC